rnacentral:rRNA from 1 species
UUGAGAUGUAACAACAUACCAGACAAUACGAUCAACAGUUUAAAAUCCAAAGAAAUUGGCGGUAUCUUAUGUAAUCAGGGGAACCUGUCUCUUAAUUCGAUAAUCCACGAACACUAAACCCAGUUUUGAAUAUCAGCCUGUGUACUGCUGUCGCCAGUAAACCUUUAAAAGUCAGUUUACAUAAAAUAUAAAUCAUAUUUACGUCAAGUCAAAGUGCAGCUAAUAACUAGGAGAUGAUGGGUUACAUUCUAAAUAUAGAUACGAAUAAUUAAAUUAAAAAUUUUUUGAAGGUGG